GCAACAAACGGGCGCCGCUUCACGGCUCUACUUUAUAUAAACUACGCCCCCCGGAGCGUCGCGGCGCUGCGCGCGCCCGCCCACAGCUGUUGCUUCAAUCAAUAACUACCAAACGGCGAGUCGCGCGACCUCUCUCCACCCUCGGCCACAACACUCGUCUAUUAUUCAGACGUCACCGUCAAUAUUUACCGCCACCCCCAACCUCAAAACGACCCAAUUUACCCUCAAUCUUCACCCAAACCAUCUCUUGCGUCUCCGAAAUGCUUUAUCACAUCCCGGAAUCCUAUAAUUAAUCCUUUCUCUCCAGAAACGCUUUCAUCUUCUGUCGUCAAAAACUUACCUACAAUAAGAUGCUUACAACAACCACCACCUGUAACCUCUUAGAAAUUCAAUGUCAACAUCAUAUUUAAACAACAAACAUACAUGUAAUACAGAACGAAAAGGGAUAAUAAAAAGGAUUCUCGUCAUAGAAAUAUGGAAAAGUUAGAAUAAGAACAAGCCUAAAGACACAGUUGAUUUUAUCUAGAAUUACUAGAAAAUGGAGCAAAAAUAAAAAGUGAUUUAUAAAGGUCACAAAAUUAAUUGACUAUCCACAUGCUUCACGGUCUGUUGGGAAAAACAGGGUCUACAGUUCGUUAACCCUCGAAAAUGUGUAUUAUUGCUCCUGCUUAAUAUGAGGGUCACGUAGAUAGGUCUCGGAGGAAACAAAAGGUUAAGGAACAAAAGCACUAAACAAUAAUUAAAUUCAAAGGAAGGAUAAUAAUCUUGGAAAAUAUAACACGAAACUGUUUUCCUUUAUGAAAUGGUUUAAAAGUGUUAACGGUUACGGCAAAUAAAAUUAGCCGGUUGAAUACGUUCCGAAAGAGGGGAUUUUUUGUCAGAAACGAACAAAAUCGACCUAUAAAAAGUCUAACGAUUGAACCAUGACACCAGUGAAGGUUGAUCAGCGAUCAAAAUGAGGAACAUCAUAGUGUUAUUAACGUUUUUUAUAAUAUUCUCUUGUGGACAUUGCGGAUUAUAUCAAAAUUAUGCGCCAAUAAACACCCCCGGAAGAUUUUACGGUACUCCGUAUCGUUUUCAAAACGGGGGAUUUUCCGGAUCUAACGCAAAUUCACAAAGCCAAGGUUUUGGCGGAUUUUCCAAUUCAAAUUCAGGAAGUAAAGCGGGUUCUUUAGGCGGCGGUUCUGGAUUUUCAAAAUCGCAAUCAUCUGCGAAUUCAGGUUCAUUCUCGAAAAAUGGGGCAUCCGGAUCGUUUUCAUCCAGCAGCAGUUCGAGCCGUAGUUUUGCGGGAAACUUUGGAAGAUUCGGUCAGGUGCAGCAUUAAGAGCAGGAUUUUAAAAUAAAUUAUGUAACGAUAAAUAAAACUCAAUUAAAAUUUUA
rnacentral:lncRNA from 1 species